AUUUGACACCUGUAUUGAAAAUACCAUAUUGUAUUCAUAUAGAAUCAGUAUGGUAUCAUUGUUUGUCUGCUCACUGAUUGUUGAAACUAAGAGCUAGUUUGAUCUGUUUAGAUCUAAAGUAUCCAAAGUUGAGCUCUAAUGUUUCUUCACCCCUGUGUGUGUGAUAUGUGAUUUCCUACAUGCUGGCAGAGCAGAGCGGCAGUUUGUGCUCACAGAUGGUGACAGUGUGGAGAGACGGUGGUGUUUCCUCAGAAGAACCAGCAGAGUCACAAAGGACACCAGUCCAUCUCACCACCUUGACUCACUGACUGAUGCUCGUCUGCACUGCACAGAGGAAAUCAACUGACCGAGGAGUGUUUCUGAGUGAGGGGGAGAGGAGUCAUCAUCCAGGUAAAGUGACGUGGAUCAGUGGAUACACUUGUCUCCCCUUUAAAGGAGACGAUCCAAGUCAUCCUUAAAUAUGGGCAGGAUAUCAGUCUUGGACUGUCUAACCUGCCGGAGCAGCAUUGAAUGACCACCGCACAUGAGCAUGUUCCUGCAACAUUCAGCAUCUGAUCCUUCAUCUGUGUGCUGCUGCUUUUGUGUCAAAUGUCAAACAGCUGGAGAAGAAACUACACCAGUGUACUGGGAUGUUUCAGCAACACGUGCCAGAUGCUGUUCCUUCAUGGUGACAUCACCAGAGACAGUCCCGCCCACCUCAGGACCCAUUGAUUAUGAUGAUUAUAAUGAUGACAGCGAGCAGAACUAAGACUGUAAAAAUCCACGACCAGAAUGUUUAGAUGCUUUCUAAUUAUUAAUGAAUACUGAGAGCCUCUUUCUGUGUUUUGUCUGUUUUGGGUUUUUACCUCAUUUGUUACUAACAAAGUUCACCAAACUCACACAGUUUACAUUCUGCGUCAAGGUUUAAUUUCUUAGAAAUCAUAGUUUUUCUCCUUUUCUCUUUUUCUCUUUUGUAAUUGAUGACAAUUACAAAAGUCACUGCGCUGCAGUGAAUAUACUGCGCUGCUUCCUUUUAUUGCGUCACACAUUGCUUUAAGUUUUUCAGUGUCCAGUUAUUUUUUACUGCUGUUUGAAUUCUCUGAAUGUUUGACCCUGUAGACAGUUUGAUGGACUGCUUGUCUUCCUGUUUGUUACCGCCGCCUGUUUUUGACUAAA